ACAGGUUUUUAUUUUUAGCCAUGGGGCCAUUACCUGUAAUGGGAAGCCAGAGUUAGGGAACCACUAUUGAUAUUAUAGCACUGAUGUUAAAUACAUUUGUAAUAUAGGGUACUGUCAACAUGCUAGACUGGAUCCGGGACUACUAACUGUGAAAAAAGCAGACAACUGCCUUGGGGGCACCAGAUCCUCAGCUUCACAAUGUGGCAAGUGUCAGUGGUAAAUGAUUGAAGCUGGUGAAAUGGGAAGAUGAUGUGCCGGACAAUUUUAAUUGAUCUAUGAACUUCACAGUGGGCCACACUUUAUUCUUGAGGCCCUGUUUUGGAAACUAUCUUGUUGCAAGACUGCUGCAAAUUCUACAUGAUAUAAUGCUAACAUGGGGCAUAAUGCAUACUGUUAAAGUAAGUUAUUUAGAUGUAUUUAAUCAAACCACAAAACAAACCUAGCAAAAAUAUUCUGUCCACAAUAUACAAUGGGAGGGUUUUCAAGGGCAAGCUGCUCAUUUCUAAAUGGGCCCCCAAGCAGGUUAACGUAACUGUUAUUGAUGCUUGACACGUUUUACCAGCAUUCAGUUUUUGACAUAUUGUCUAGUAAAACUGCAUGACAGAUGCACUAACCAUUUUAUUUGGUACCAUCUGUAAAGGCCUGCACUACAUUUGAAGGUAACCAGCCAUUAGUCACUUACUUCACCCAUCACUAGAACUGUUUUCAUGAGUGCAUAUGAUGUAAUUACAGAUUGAGCAGCAAGCAAAUUGGCCCACCUAUUGUAGGUUAAUGUCCUAAAGAAUUUCAAUUACACCUGUCAUCCUAACAGUCCUCACACAAUCCUUUGUCCUAUUUUAGUAUUAAACAUGGUAGCAUAAUGCACAUUUUAUUUCUACUUUUAGUUAUUGCUCUAUAUUUACACUUUUCUUAUAAUUCUCUAUUCCUUGCAUCAAAGCAACUGUAUUGGAUCAUUUCUCCUUAGGGAAUCAAUGAAGUAUUUCUGAUCAACCAUCCCCACUAGUUCUUAAAAAGUAUACUGAACACGGGUUUCAAACGGAAGUGAAACAUUUAGAGUCACAACUAUAACCUACUUCUCACUGUGGUUAAAAAUAGCAUCAAUAAUUCUUUUCAGGUAUAUAAAAAAAACCAAAAGGCAGACAUUUAAAACCAGUAUUUAUCCUGUACAUAGGACGCAAUUCAGCACAAAGCUGAUGAUAAACAGACACUUGAGAGGAAUUCCCACUUUAAUUGGCGUUUUAUACCAUUCAUAACAAAGAAACAAUUUAUUUUUCUUUUUUUACCUUUUUUUAAAAAAAUGAGGAAACUGUACAUUGGUAAAGAAAUCCCAAAAACCGCACUGUAUAAAGCCACAAAUAUGUGGCAUAUACAUAACUAUUGACUGAGGUGAAAACACAGUAAUUCUAAAAGAAUAAACCAUGAUGAGUAUGAUUAGCUCUGUAAUGCAUUGUGUUUUGAGUACAGUUGAGUGUAUGGGUCAAUGUAACCAACCUCAAAUGUACCAUCAACUGACAGCAUAAACAAAACAAAAAAACAACAACAAACACAACCAAGUCCAGUACUAGUGAACACGAUUUAAGUGAACGUUGUGAACAAGACUUAACUCGGCAAAGAUCACAACUCUCAAACUUUCAAUCAUCCUAUUCCCUAUCAAACACACAGUAUUACGAUGUAUUAAAUUCCAAAACAGUACAGGUUACAAAAUCCCUCAAGAUGCCUCGGGAAUGUCUCAGGUAAACUCUCCCAGAGUUGAACAUCAAAUUCCUGAUAUAGGCACGACUUCGUGUCAUGCAGAACUACAACCUAAAGGCAAAAUAAGGAGCCGGAGAGACGAGAGAGAAAAAACAAGUACAAUUAUGAACUCAAUAAGGAAAAAAAAAAAACCCCCAACAUAACGACCGACACUUUCCCUUCACAGAAGCCAUGAAACUGAGUGGAAUUUGUAUUAUUUUUAAAAA